rnacentral:misc_RNA from 1 species
GAUUUGGAUGUUGAUGAGCCAAGCUGCUGGUAUGGAAGAGGAAUUGGGUCAAAGAAGAUGGGUUUUGAAGAAAGAACUCCAUUGAUGAUUGCUGCCAUGUUUGGAAGCUCCAAGGUUGUCAAGUACUUAAUUGAGACGGGCAAAGUUGAUGUCAACAGGGCUUGUGGUUCAGAUUUGACCACUGCCCUUCACUGUGCCACUGCUGGUGGCUCUUGUUCUUCCCUUGAGACCAUCAAGCUCUUGCUAGAUGGAUCUGCU